rnacentral:rRNA from 1 species
UUUUAUGUCAUAUGGUUGAUGCCAUAGCGGUGACCUGGUAAACAGCAGAUAGUUUUUAAAAAUCAUGCUACCACAUUUUAUGUGUAUCACGGUUCAUGUACAUUGUACGUGAAUGCAGUGAUGGCAUGUAUUUGAUUGGCAAUGCGAUAGAUUUGGGAUACCUUCAGGACCCGUCUUGAAACACGGACCAAGAAGUCUAACAUGUGUGCGAGUCAUUGGGUAUAUUGUUGAAACCUAAGGGCGCAAUUAAAAUAACUAUUUUAUGGGAUUACAAGUGAAUUAAUUUUCAUUUCUUCAUCCCGGGGCGUUCUAUACGAACAUGGUUUGAGCAAUUGAAUCCUCUGUUCAAGAGCGUACCUUGAGCAUACAUGCUGUGACCCGAAAGAUGGUGAACUAUACCUGAUCAGAUCGAAGCCAGGAGAAAUUCUGGUGGAGGAUCGAAACAGUUCUGACGUGCAAAUCGAUUGUCAGAAUUGGGUAUAGGGGCGAAAGACCAAUCGAACCAUCUAGUAGCUGGUUCCCUCCGAAG